rnacentral:rRNA from 1 species
ACUCCUACGGGAGGCAGCAGUGGGGAAUAUUGCACAAUGGGCGCAAGCCUGAUGCAGCCAUGCCGCGUGUGUGAAGAAGGCCUUCGGGUUGUAAAGCACUUUCUAGUUGUGAGGAAGGUGGUGUCGUUAAUAGCGGCAUCAUUUGACGUUAGCAACAGAAGAAGCACCGGCUAACUCCGUGCCAGCAGCCGCGGUAAUACGGAGGGUGCGAGCGUUAAUCGGAAUUACUGGGCGUAAAGCGCAUGCAGGUGGUUUGUUAAGUCAGAUGUGAAAGCCCGGGGCUCAACCUGGAACUGCAUUUGAAACUGGCAGACUAGAGUACUGUAGAGGGGGGUAGAAUUUCAGGUGUAGCGGUGAAAUGCGUAGAGAUCUGAAGGAAUACCGGUGGCGAAGGCGGCCCCCUGGACAGAUACUGACACUCAGAUGCGAAAGCGUGGGGA